rfam:Clostridium sp. CAG:448 genomic scaffold, scf157
AAUGAUACUCCCGCAUUCGGUGCGGUCUGCCGGCAGGCAGAAGAUGCGAUUUCGGGUUGAAUGGAUACCCGCGAAUGCAUUU